CCACACGUUAAGGACUAUAUAAACUUUAAGUCAAAAUAAAUGCAAAUAUAAUUUUUUAUUACCAUUACUGAUAUUAUUAUCAGUCAUGGAUAGAUGGUUAUACCAUUUUGUGAUCCCCACCAUCAAUAUUAUUUAUUCUUCCGAAUAUCUUUGCUGACUUUUAGUCCCUAUUUAAAUAGGCUGAAACAAGAUUCUGAUUCAAGUAGCACCAAAGAUCACCUCCUGCCUACCUUUGUACCUAAGGUGUUUCCUCAUGAUUACUGUUAUUCCCAAGAUUGCCAAAGGAAUUAAUAAUAAUUAGCUACUUAUUGCAAAGUGCAGUCAGAAUCAGCAUAUAAAACACCUGCUUUCCCCUUCACCAUUCAUUUCCUCCCUUUGUUUAAUCACACAAUGAAACAAUUAUCUUCCAUUUGUGACAUCACAAUCACUCCCAUAGCAACAGGCAUCUGCUUCUGACACUUCAAUAUGGGAAUAAUCAGGGAGCAGAUAUGAAUGUGGAGGAGAAAGACCUUGUUUAUAUAUAAAUAAGUUAACAACCAGCAAUUGCUGGGAAAGAGAAAUGGAGAGGAAAAGUAAUGUCUCACAGAUAAGACUUCCUUUUUAAAUGUUAAUUUUUUCAUCUAUCUGACCGUAAACUUCAUCUCUGAAACUUUUUUCCCAUUAUUGUCAUCAUACCUAGAGCACAUAGAGCUGAACGCUAGCUCACUGUGACCUUUCUGAAAUCACAGGCAAUCCUUUCUCUUUGUCAUUCUGAUAAUGGAAUGGAUCAGAUUCUUCCUGAAGACAUUAUAAUAGAGUUCAACUGUCUAUGCUGUACACUAAUGAAAAAUGUUAAACCCAGUGCUUCUCCAGUAUGCACCCCCACAGCACACAGCAGAUGCCCUGCCUAGAGAUGUCCAUAUGGCAUGCUGGUCUCGAUGAUAUUUCCUCUACUGUCAAGGGAGCUGGCUGUAUGGAUGAGCUGUUGUUGAUGCCAUGUGGAGGCUUAGAUAGAAGUAUGUUGAAGGAAAGACUUUUUAUUUGUCCCUUCCAGUCACUACUCAACAAGGCCAACUUGAUAUGUAGGGGAAGGGCUCUACUUUUAAAUGAUGGGAAUACAAAUACAAACAAAAAAAAGAAAAAAAAUCACUGUCCUCAGGAGAUUACAUUCUAAUGAAAGAAGAAAUUACAUAAAGGAGCUGAAAACUGGAGCAUAGAACAAGAGAGGAGGAAAAGAGAGAGUAAGUGUCUGGAUAUUAUAUCAAACUUCUUCAAAAUGGAAGAGCUCACCAAUCAGGGAACAAGGUCACAGAAAUGAGGUCUUUUAAAAGAUGAGAAGAAGGCUGCUUUUGCAUGGAGAAGUGUGAAGUGUUUGAAAUAUACUGUAAGUGACUAAUAUCAUAGACUUCAAUAUGAGUAAAAAAAAAGAAAAAGAGGGAGAGGGAAUGAAGUUAUCUGACCUCUAAAUUAUGGGAAAUUGGGCCAUAGAAAAUGCAAUAUUCGGGCAUGAAGAAAACAUUUGUCAAGUCUCAUGGAAUCUAGCUCAAUAAUUUGUUGUUGUUGAAUCUAAGUCAGUCCCCCCAAAAAUGGAGUACAGGCACAGAACUCUCUACUUAAAAUAGAAACAAAGAAUGUGCACUAGAUCAGGAUCCCCAACUGCAACUCAAAACUGAUUAACCCCUAGAUAGCCUCCUGCCUCAAUUGAUUUCCUCUGCACUAUAUCUCUUUUGAAAGGGAGGAAGAAGCUCCUCAUGGUUCUGUCCCUACUGGCUAAAGGCAAAGGUUCUACUGCUUUCCACUUACUACUCACUUUCUUUGCUAAAUACAAGAAAUUUUCCUAACUGCACUAUGAGAUUCAUUUUCCAGAAACUUUGGUGGUCUGACAUUUUUAUGUUGGUAAAUCUCUCCUUGUGUGUGUGUUGGGGGGCAGUAUAGCAUAAAAGAGUUAGAAAAGAUACAUGCUAGAGUUCUGGCUCAGGAAUUAACUAUGUGGCUAUCCUAAUUCUUAGUGUUUUAAGAAUAAAGCAGAAUGUAAACCUUAAUGUGUGACA
rnacentral:lncRNA from 1 species